rnacentral:rRNA from 1 species
UACAGAGGGUGCGAGCGUUGUCCGGAAUCACUGGGCGUAAAGGGCGCGUAGGUGGCGGGCCAAGUCCAUGGUGAAAGCUCGAUGCUCAACAUCGAGUCGGCCACGGAUACUGGUUCGCUGGAGCACUGUAGAGGCAGAUGGAAUUCCGGGUGUAGCGGUGGAAUGCGUAGAGAUCCGGAAGAACACCGGUGGCGAAGGCGGUCGCUGGGGCAGUUGCCUGGACACUGAGGCGCGACAGCGUGGGGGAGCAAACAGGG